AGAGUUUGAUCCUGGCUCAGAACGAACGCUGGCGGCGGGGCUUAGGCAUGCAAGUCGCGCGAGAAAGCCGCAAGGCGAGUACAGCGGCGCAAGGGUGAGUAACAGGUAGUCAACGUACCCAUCUGACGCGGAUAAUUCUCCGAAAGGGGUUGUAAUACGCGAUGAGACCACGGGCUCUUUGGAGCUAGGGGUCAAAGGUCGGGGAUCCUUCGGGACCUGGCGCUGAUGGAGCGGACGACCUCCGAUUAGCUAGUUGGCGGGGUAACGGCCCACCAAGGCGAUGAUCGGUAGCCGGCCUGAGAGGGUGUUCGGCCACACUGGGACUGAGACACUGCCCAGACUCCUACGGGAGGCUGCAGUCGCGAAUCAUUCACAAUGGGCGCAAGCCUGAUGAUGCCACGCCGCGUGCGGGAUGAAGGCCCUUUGGGUUGUAAACCGCUGUCAAGAGGGGGGAACCGUAUGGUGUUAACAGCGCCAUGCCUGACUGCCCACUAAAGGAAGCCCCGGCAAAACAUGUGCCAGCAGCCGCGGUAAUACAUGUGGGGCAAGCGUUGUUCGGAAUUACUGGGCAUAAAGGGUGCGUAGGUGGCUUGUUAAGUCAGGGGUGAAAGUUUUCGGCCCAACCGGAAAAUUGCCUUUGAUACUGGCGAGCUGGAGUGCGUGAGGGGUAACCGGAACGAGCAGUGUAGCGGUGAAAUGCGUAGAUAUUGCUCGGAAGGCCAACGGCGAAGGCAGGUUACUGGUGCGCAACUGACACUGAGGCACGAAAGCGUGGGGAGCAAACAGGAUUAGAUACCCUAGUAGUCC
rnacentral:rRNA from 1 species